rnacentral:lncRNA from 1 species
UUUUUUUUUUUUUUUUUUGUAUUUUUAAUAGAGACAGGGUUUUACCAUAUUGGCCAGGAUGGUCUUGAUCUCUUGACCUUGUGAUCUGCCCGGCUCGACCUCCCAAAGUGCUGGGAUUAUAGGCGUGAGCCACCAUGCCCGGCCUAUUUUUGUAUUUUCAGUAGAGUUGGGGUUUCACCAUGUUGGCCAGGCUGGUCUCGAACUCCUGACCUCAGAUGAUCCACCCAGCUCGGCCUCCCAAAGUGCUGAGAUUACAGGUGUGAGCUACUAUGCCCCGCCCACAUCAGCAAUUCUUAAUUUACAAACCAUGGAUUGGCUUCAGGAGAACCUAAGAACCAAUGCAAUCUGUUGGUAAAUUUUAUGUGUGCAAUUUUCUCCAGAGAGGGUCAACAGCAUAUAUAUUUUCAAAGAUGUCUGUGGUGCAAAAUAGGUAAGAGUGUAUUAUGUUAGAAGUCCUUGGGCGAUCAACUUCACUGGAUUGAGCACUGGAUUGAGGCUGGAUUGAGAAUGGGGACUGGUAUAGAUCAGGAUAAUGUUGAAUUUGAACCUCACUUGAGGCUUUUGUACAGAGGAUGAGAAGACAGGGUAAAUUCAAGGGAUAAUCAGAAAUUAAAAUCAGUAUGAUUUGGUGAUGAGUGAGAAGUGAAAGGUCAGAGAAAAACAUCAAGGAUGAAAUCAAGCUUCUGACUUGCAACAGUGAGUAUACCGAGAGUUACAGGCUAGAUGGAAGAUUAAUAAAAUUGGGAGCAUUCUGGUUUUCAUGAAGAAUGGCCAUGCGAUGUUCAGGGAGAAAUGGACAGUUGAAAAUGAGAGUCUAGCCAGGCACAGUGGCUCACUCCUGUAAUCCCAGCACUUUGGGAGGCUAAGGUGGGAGAACUGCUUGAGCCCAGGAGCAGGAGGCAACAGUGAGCCAGAAUUAUGCCACUGCACUCCAGCCCGAGCGACAGUGAGAUCCUGACUCCAAACAAACAAACAAACAAAGAAACACACACCACCAAAAAUCAAAAAAGAAACCCAAGUCCAGAGGCACAUAGCUGGGAGUCAGUUUUAGCUGAGAGAGUUAAGAUCAUCCAAUCAGUAUUAAGGAAGGAAGUCACUACUGGAGACCACCAAUACUUAAGAAAAAUGGGUAAAAUCAGAGGAAUUGAUAAAGGCCGGCUGAAAAAUGUUGGUGUCUAGCUCAAGAAAGGACGGGUUAGGUGGUAUAUAUUUAUUAAUAUGGAUCUAGAGAAGCAUUUGUUCACUAAUACAUUUUACUUGUGUUCUCUAAUUUAAAAUCACCUUUUCAUCUUGAUUUUCCUGCAGCUAAAUUAGAAAUUUAUAGUUUUCCCCUUAAAAAAUGCAGUGACGUUCUUUCUUAUAAAUUACAUUAUCUGAUUUUCUUGUCAGCCAGCUUCAAGGAAAUCCAUGUGUUCAAAAUGUCUGCUUGCAGUUUGCCCCAUACCAAAUGGUUGUUUAAUCCAAAUACUGAGCCGCAAACUGAGCUAAUCCUUCUGGAGAAAGGAUG